AACGAACGCUGGCGGCAUGGAUUAGGCAUGCAAGUCGAACGGACGUAGCAAUACGUUAGUGGCGAAAGGGUGAGGAACGCGUGAGCAACCUGCCCCCAAGUUGGGAAUAACAGCUGGAAACGGCUGCUAAUACCUGAUGUGGUAGUAAAGUGGCAUCACAUUACUACUAAAGAUUUAUCGCUUGGGGAUGGGCUCGCGUCCCAUUAGCUAGUUGGUGAGGUAACGGCUCACCAAGGCAACGAUGGGUAGCUGGUCUGAGAGGAUGGUCAGCCACACUGGGACUGAGAUACUGCCCAGACUCCUACGGGAGGCUGCAGUCGAGAAUCUUCCGCAAUGCGCGAAAGCGUGACGGAGCGAUGCCGCGUGCCGGAUGAAGGUCUUCGGAUCGUAAACGGCUGUCACCCGGGACGAAUAAAUGACGGUACCGGGGAAGGAAGCCACGGCUAACUACGUGCCAGCAGCCGCGGUAAUACGUAGGUGGCGAGCGUUGUUCGGAUUUAUUGGGCGUAAAGGGUCCGUAGGAGGUUGGUUAAAUUUGGGGUGAAAUCCCGGAGCUCAACUCCGGAACUGCCUUGAAGACUGAUCAACUAGAGUACUGGAGAGGUAAGCGGAAUUCCAGGUGUAGCGGUGGAAUGCUUAGAUAUCUGGAAGAACACCGAAAGCGAAGGCAGCUUACUGGCCGGUCACUGACUCUCAUGGACGAAAGCGUGGGGAGCAAACAGG
rnacentral:rRNA from 1 species